CCUACGGGUGGCAGCAGUGGGGAAUAUUGGACAAUGGGCGAAAGCCUGAUCCAGCCAUGCCGCGUGUGUGAAGAAGGCCUUCGGGUUGUAAAGCACUUUCAGUGGGGAAGAAAGCCUUGGGGCUAAUACCCUCGAGGAAGGACAUCACCCACAGAAGAAGCACCGGCUAGCUCCGUGCCAGCAGCCGCGGUAAUACGGAGGGUGCGAGCGUUAAUCGGAAUUACUGGGCGUAAAGCGCGCGUAGGCGGUCUGAUAAGCCGGUUGUGAAAGCCCCGGGCUCAACCUGGGAACGGCAUCCGGAACUGUCAGGCUAGAGUGCAGGAGAGGAAGGUAGAAUUCCCGGUGUAGCGGUGAAAUGCGUAGAGAUCGGGAGGAAUACCAGUGGCGAAGGCGGCCUUCUGGACUGACACUGACGCUGAGGUGCGAAAGCGUGGGUAGCAAACAGGAUUAGAUACCCUGGUAGUC
rnacentral:rRNA from 1 species